rnacentral:rRNA from 1 species
CAGCAGCCGCGGGAAAACGUAGGGUGCAAGCGUUAAUCGGAAUUACUGGGCGUAAAGCGUGCGCAGGCGGUUUUGUAAGACAGAGGUGAAAUCCCCGGGCUCAACCUGGGAACUGCCUUUGUGACUGCAAGGCUAGAGUACGGCAGAGGGGGAUGGAAUUCCGCGUGUAGCAGUGAAAUGCGUAGAUAUGCGGAGGAACACCGAUGGCGAAGGCAAUCCCCUGGGCCUGUACUGACGCUCAUGCACGAAAGCGUGGGGAGCAAACAGGAUUAGAGACCCCUGUAGUCCCUGUCUCUUAUAA